AAUCCUGUGGAGCAACUCAUAACCCAUGAGGAAUGGAAGCCGACAGACAGACUCAUCCCCAGGACAGGUGGUUCUCACUACAUCUCAUAAAGCUUCUUAGAAGAUCUUACAGGAUUGAGCAACCAGCCAGCCACAGCAGGGGCCAACUGGAUAACACGUCUUUGCAUAGGCUCUCCCUCUGUCCCUGUCACCCUCCCCUUUUCCUAACCUUGUUCCUUGGGAUUAUGUUUUGAAAUAAAUUAUUCAGAGAAAUGAAGCCAAAGCUGACCCAUUAGCCAAUAGCUAGGUUCUGUGAUGACAGAGCUUCUGGGCUAUAAUCGUUUACUGAGAAGCCAGCGUUCCUGAGGGGAUAAUGGCUCGUUCCAUUCAGCUGCAGCAUAGGAGUGAGGGCAGGGCAUUAGCAGAAGAUAACACCAGAAACGUGCUCUGGGGCCUGUUGAUGACUUUCUGUGCCAAGCACAGACAUUUAGCCUUUAUUCUGUAUGUGAUGGGAAGCCAGUGCCAGUGGUGGGUUUGAGCAGGGAACCAGCAACCAGUGGUGGGUUUGAGCAGGGAACCAGCAAUACUCAAGCUCUGCUUGGAUGGAGGCCAGUCAGGGAGGAGUUAGGGCAGGAGGACCAGUCAGGGAGGAGACUUAGGGCAGGAGGACCAGUCAGGGAGGAGACUUAGGGCAGGAGGACCGGUCAGGGAGGAGUUAGGGCUGGAGGACGGGUCAGGGAGGAGUUAGGGCUGGAGGACCGGUCAGGGAGGAGUUAGGGCAGGAGGACAGGUCAGGGAGGAGUUAGGGGAGGAGGACCGGUCAGGGAGGAGUUAGGGCAGGGGGAUUGGUCAGGGAGGAGUUAGGGCAGGGGGAUUGGUCAGGGAGGAGUUAGGGCAGGAGGACCGGUCAGGGAGGAGUUAGGGCAGGAGGACCGGUCAGGGAGGAGACUUAGGGCAGGAGGACUGGUCAGGGAGGAGUUAGGGCAGGAGGACCGGUCAGGGAGGAGUUAGGGCAGGAGGACCGGUCAGGGAGGAGACUUAGGGCAGGGGGAUUCGUCAGGGAGGAGUUAGGGCAGGAGGACCGGUCAGGGAGGAGUUAGGGCAGGAGGACUGGUCAGGGAGGAGUUAGGGCAGGAGGACAGGUCAGGGAGGAGACUUAGGGCAGGAGGACCGGUCAGGGAGGAGACUUAGGGCAGGAGGACUGGUCAGGGAGGAGUUAGGGCAGGAGGACCGGUCAGGGAGGAGUUAGGGCAGUAGGACCGGUCAGGGAGGAGUUAGGGCUGGAGGACUGGUCAGGGAGGAGUUAGGGCUGGAGGACAGGUCAGGGAGGAGUUAGGGCAGGAGGACGGGUCAGGGAGGAGUUAGGGGAGGAGGACUGGUCAGGGAGGAGUUAGGGCUGGAGGACCGGUCAGGGAGGAGUUAGGGCAGGAGGACCGGUCAGGGAGGAGUUAGGGCUGGAGGACCGGUCAGGGAGGAGUUAGGGCAGGAGGACCGGUCAGGGAGGAGUUAGGGCAGGAGGACCGGUCAGGGAGGAGACUUAGGGCAGGAGGACUGGUCAGGGAGGAGUUAGGGCUGGAGGACCGGUCAGGGAGGAGUUAGGGCAGGAGGACUGGUCAGGGAGGAGUUAGGGCAGGAGGACAGGUCAGGGAGGAGUUAGGGCAGGAGGAUCGGUCAGGGAGGAGUUAGGGCAGGAGGACCGGUCAGGGAGGAGUUAGGGCAGGAGGACCGGUCAGGGAGGAGUUAGGGCAGGAGGACAGGUCAGGGAGGAGACUUAGGGCUGGAGGACUGGUCAGGGAGGAGUUAGGGCAGGAGGACCAGUUAGGAGGCAGUGACUUAGGACUUCAGCAGUGGCACUAGAAAGGGGAUGGAUAUGAACGACAUUGCAAAGUAAAACUAGAGAGACGGCCGGGCACAGUGGCUCACUCCUGUAAUCCCAGCACUUUGGGAGGCCAAGGCGGGUGGAUCAUGAGGUCAGGAGAUCGAGACCAGCCUGGCCAACAUGGUGAAACCCUAUCUCUACUAGAAAAAAAAAAAAAUAGCCAGGCGUGGUGGCGGGCGCCUGUAAUCCCAGCUACUCCAGAGGCUGAGGCAGGAGAAUUUGCUUGAACCAGGGAGUCGGAAGUUGCAGUGAGCUGAGAUCGCACCACUGCACUCCAGCCUGGGCAAUAGAGUGAGACUCCGUCUCAAUAACAAAACAAACAAACAAAAACCUAGAGAGACUUGGCACCUUGCAGAGAGAAGCAAAAGAUGACCCUGAGGUCUGGAGUCCAGGAAGCCAAGGACAGCAAAAGCAUCCACAGAAACAGGAAAAGGGCAGGUGUGGGAGGGAAGGUGAGAGGUUCAUCAGACCUCACAGCCCCUGGCAGCGCCUCCUGGAUCUUUGAAAUCCUGUGCACCCCAGGAGACUCCGGGAGGCCCAUCUGAGCUCACCGGAGACAGGUCUGCCGUCUCUCCUCUCAUCACUGGGGACAGAAAGCCUGAACAUGAGGCCUGGACUACGGGGCUCAGACCAGAAUAUUUCCAGACUUAAGGGCAGUAAUGUGGAGCCCAGGAAGGAAUAUUGAGGACAGAGGGCACAUUACUUAGCUCAAGGGGUGCUGGGUUCUUAUUUUCUACUUUCAAGAAAUGUUUGCUAUAGUCACUGUAACCACCACAAAACAGUGAAUAAUACCAUGAGCCAAAUGUAU
rnacentral:lncRNA from 1 species